CUACAUCACGGUGAAACAACCGUUUCCCGUACGAUCACCGAAGUUAAGCAAUGUCGAACCUGCUCAGUACCUAGAUGGGUAAUCGAUUAGGAAUACCAGGUGUUGUAA